ACGAACGCUGGCGGCGUGCUUCACCCAUGCCAGUCGAACGGUGAAGCCCCAGCUUGCUGGAGUGGAUCAGUGGCGAACGGGUGAGUAACACGUGAGCAACCUGCCCCUGACUCUGGAAUAAGCGCUGGAAACGGCGUCUAAUACCGGAUACGAGAAGGGCCCGCAUGGGCACUUUCUGGAAAGUUUUUCGGUUGGGGAUGGGCUCGCGGCCUAUCAGCUUGCUGGUGAGGUAAUGGCUCACCAAGGCGACGACGGGUAGCCGGCCUGAGAGGGCGACCGGCCACACUGGGACUGAGACACGGCCCAGACUCCUACGGGAGGCAGCAGUGGGGAAUAUUGCACAAUGGGCGAAAGCCUGAUGCAGCGACGCCGCGUGAGGGAUGACGGCCUUCGGGUUGUAAACCUCUUUCAGCAGGGAAGAAGCGAAAGUGACGGUACCUGCAGAAGAAGCACCGGCUAACUACGUG
rnacentral:rRNA from 1 species